GUCUGUGGCCAUACCAUCCUAAACACACCCAAUCCAGUCUGAUCUUGGAAGCUAAGGGAUAGCACCUGGUUGGAACUUGGAUGGGAGAAAUGGACUAAAAAGAUAGCUGAGAGU
rnacentral:rRNA from 1 species